rnacentral:rRNA from 1 species
GGUAAGACACAUAAAUCUCCUUCCACGACUGUCAAAAAAGCGAUCCUAUGACAAGUAGAGGGGCGACUCUCCUCGUCGGUAGAAAGCUAAAACAUCUCGAUUUAGGAGUGGAUUUCACCACUCUUCGUCUUAACGACGAAUGAAGAAAGGUGUUGCAGGUCGCCGUCCUCUUCGAGUUCUCCCCGGAACGGGUAACUUGCCUGACGAAAUCAGCUUCACAUGCUGAAUGGAGAGAGUCGGAAAAUUUUCCAAGUCUUCUAGAAUGUAGCCCACUCCCUGAACCAUAAAUCUCCUCGAACCUUCGAAGGUCAUUGCUAGUCGAGGAUCUGCUCUUUUGAAGCCAAAAUCUUUGACAUUGUCGCGCCUUGAAACACUUGUGUAUAGGCACGUUAUAAAUGUCAUAUCAUAUCACCUUUAACAACGAAGGGUUCGACGUCCCUACCAGGUAUAUCUUCGACACCAUUGUCGUCGACAAAAAUGCCGCACUUGUUGAAGGAGUUUGAGAAGUCUAAAGAAUCCUUCACUCCACAAACAAGACAUUUUUUUUUCUAGUCACUUUUGGCAAUGUAUGAGGAGAAUGAGCCAUCAGAUGAUAGAAACUAACCUUUUGGCUUGGAGUAUGGAACACAAGCCGUUUCAGAGGCUCUAAUAUGAGAAGAGUAACGGAUGAAGGAUCUGUAUGAGACAUUACAGACAACAAGUGGCAUAAACACUUCCCCAGAGAUUGAAUUCGGCAGACAAGACCCCUUAGAUCAUGCAGAGGGGUCGUAUAGACAAUUAAUGGCUAAGGUCAUUGAAUUCUGGGGUGGGCAGGCCUGCAUGCACCACCUUAUGAGCAGGAUGACCUGACAGACAUUUUGGACAAGGGACCCCAAGAGGAUCAGAUUCUUCCCUUUCAUAUAGGCUUACGAAGUCGGGUCAGUGCAAACUGGGAUACGCUAGAGUUAAUUCGGGCAGUACAUCAAAAAUUGACUAGUAAACACAGGACCUCUGGUAGUGAUCUUGAUUAUCUGUCGAAACAUCCAACUUCAGAAAGCCUGGUGGUACAGGCUGCCACAUCGACUUCAAAACAAACCUCCUACCCAAUGAUUCCCCAAGACAGGGAUGACAAACGUUAUGCCUUGGCAAGAAAAUUCUUCUCGGCUAGGAGUAUGGUCCUUAAAUCGGCGAACGCCACAUGUGCACUUGCUAAAUUCACAUCUUCCAUAUGGGACUGGUUAGCAAUGAUGGCUGAUCAUAUUCCCGAAGGGGAAGAACGAGACAGAUUUUUUUAGCAUUAUUAAAGAUCGGAAGGAGGCUAUGUGUGAGUCCCUUCAAAUUGGUCUCAACUCUGCGGACAGUAGCAGCAGAGCAAUGGCGGCUAGCACAGUAAUACUCGGAUUCGAGUUUGCUUCAGAUGUGCAAUCAAGACUUCUUAACAUGCCCUUUGACGGCACUCACUUAUUUGGCAGCAAGGCUAACGAGAGCCUGUAGAAGCUGCAGCCCUUCAAAGCGGCAGCCAAAUCCUUUGGUGCUGCAAUCAGACAAUCGCAAAUUCGCCACAGUGGAACAGCUUGGACGGGUAGGUCAUUUGGUUUUUAUUACUCAGCUGGAAGAGCGAGAGGACUGGCGAGUCAGAGGUCAAAGAAUAUUCCCCCUUGGUGGAUGGGGGAGAGGUCCUAAGACCGUCCAGGCAACGGCUGCUUUACCCUCGGUCACUACAAAACCUCUCUGAGGCCUUAGUCCACAAAACACCGGUGGAAGGCAGACUCUCACAGCAUGUUCAAGAAUGGUGGGGUGUUGGCGCGGUUAAAUGGCGGGAGUAAAAAUGACUUAAGGUAGCCAAAUGACUGGUCAUCUAAUUAGUGACACACAUGAAUGGAUGAAAGCAAUUCCCACUUUCCUUAACUACUAUCUAGAGAAACCACAGCCAAGGGAACGGGCUUGGCAGAGUCGGUGGGGAAAAAUCAUGCUGAGCUUGACUCUAGUCUGGUGCUAUGAAGAGACAUCAAAGUUGUGGGAUUAGUGACGGGCCCACAGGCUGCCAGUGACCUACUACAACCAUUGUUUUUCACUUACCUAUUGAGGCAGGGGGUGAGCCCCGGGGGGCUCUUGCUUCUGGCUCCAGGCACCCGGCACCCACUGAGUGCAACCCACUCCGGGGCCAGUUGUAGGUGCAGAGUUUGACACGGGUAAUACACCUGUGAAACGAUAAUGCAGGUGUCCUAAGGUGAGCUCAGGGAGGGCAGAAACCUCCCGCGGAGUAGAAGGGCAAAAGCUUGCUUGUUCUCGAUUUUCAGUAUGAAUACAGACCAUGAAAGCGGGGCCUCAGGAUCCUUCUGAAUUUUUGGGUUUCAAGCAGGUUUUCAGUCAGAAAUGUUACCACAGGAAUAACUGGCGUGUGGUGGCCAACGGUUCAUAGUCGCUGAUUUUUGAUCCUUCGAUGUCGGCUCUCCCUAUCAUAGUGAAGCAGAAUUCAUCAAGUGUUGGAUUGUUCGCCCACUUAUACGGAACGUGUGCUUGCUUUAGACCAUUGUGAGACUGGUUAGUUUUACCCUACUAAUGUGGUGUUGUAAUAGUAAUCAUGCUCAGUAUAAGAGGAACCAAAGGUUCAGACAUUUUGUGUAUGUGCUUGGAUGAGGAGCCCAUGAGGCAAAGCUACCAUCUCUGGGAUUAUGACUGAACGAUACUGCAGCGCUGUGGAGCCUCAGUUGCCUAGGAUAACCGACCUCUGGGCUGGUCCGUAGAGACGCUCGCCUCGUGACUCAUGUGUGGACAGAAGACGGCCACUUCUCACCUGAAGUGCACUGCAUGUUCAUGGCGAACCUGGUGGUAAAUCAUUCAUAGACUACCUGAUUCUGGGUCAGGGUUUCAUAAGUAGCAGAGCUGCUACCACGCUGCAAUCUAUCGAGUCAUCCUUUGAGA